GAUGAACGCUGGCGGCGUGCCUAAUACAUGCAAGUCGAACGGAAAGGCCCUGCUCUUGCGGGGUGCUCGAGUGGCGAACGGGUGUGUAACACGCGAGUAUCCUGCCCUUGUAUUUCGGAUAACACCACGAAACUGGGGCUAAUACCGGAGAGGAGCUCCUGCUGCACGGUGGGGGUUGGAAAAUUUCGGCGGUUGGGGAUGGUCUGGCGGGUUAUGCGCUUGUUGGUGGGGUAGUGGAUUACCAAGGCUUUGACGGGUAGCCGGCCUGAGAGGGUGACCGGCGACAAUGCGACUGAGGUACGCAGCAGACUCGUACGGGAGGCAGCAGUGGAGAAUAUUGCACAAUGGGGGGAAGUCUGAUGCGGCAGCGCCGCGUGCGUGAUGACGGCCUUCUGGUUGUAAACCGCUUUCGCCUGUGACGAGGCGUGCGUGACGGUAAUGGGUAAAGAAGCACCGGCUAACUACGUG
rnacentral:rRNA from 1 species